GGCGGAGCCCUAGCGAGGACGAGGCGGACGAGAAGCUGUCGUCUGCUGAGAUCCACAACGCCGAGGACUACAAGGCCAUCUUCCAGCCAAAGAGCGCCAUCUCUCGCACUCCUCCUAAGAUGUCGGAGCCUUUUCCCGCUCCUCCAGAGGACGAGUCCAUUUUGGCGAUCAGCCGGCAGCUGAAGGACAUAAAGUCUCAUUUUCCUGAUAAACAGCAGGUCAGUGAACGCAGAAGCCGUGUGUCUGUGUGGAAACAUGGACGCCUUAGGACAGCGGACUAUAAAUGCAACGAACCUAUCAGAGCUUGGGUUGGGUGAGAGCUGAAACAUCCUGAAGCACCUCAAAAUUAAACUCUGUGACGGCCCUGGCAAAUCUACACAUCCUAAACAAAUCUCUGCACCUGCAAGCCGCUUUGCAGCCCACCUUCUCCUAUUCCGCCAGCCUGAGGAACUGAGCAGGUGUCAACAGGUGACAUCAAGUCGGAGCCAAUUACUGCAGGUAGAAAUGAUCAUUCACCUUUUGUCUAAAGCCUUCCUGACUGAUGCGAUCCUUAAAUGUGAUUUAAGCUGUGUGGGAACAUUGGAGGCAUAGACAGGAAAUGAGGUUUAAUCACAAACUCAGCUCAGUUUGUCCAGUUAUUUGAGUCUGAAAGUGGUGCUAGGGGAAAAAAGUGGUUAAUUCAGUCAUUUUAUUAACGCCCUUUAGAUUAACUCAACUCACCUCUUGGUCAUGUCAUUUUCAAAUCUACAGUGAUGGUGUGUCAAACACUCCUUUUUACUGCUCUUUUAAAUAUUUGUGUCCACACGAUGCCGACGUAGGCUUCCAGCACUUGGCCAGUAAAGCUAGUUUCUCUUCU